rnacentral:rRNA from 1 species
GACGAACGCUGGCGGCGUGGAUUAGGCAUGCAAGUCGAACGGUAGUUAUUCCUUCGGGGAUAAUGAGAGUGGCGAACGGGUGAGUAACGCGUAGGUGAUCUACCUUCAGGUGGGGGACAACCCGGGGAAACCCGGGCUAAUACCGCAUGUGGCUGCAAAGCUAAAGCCGGCCUCUGCAAAUGCUGGUGCCUGGAGAUGAGCCUGCGUCCGAUUAGUUAGUUGGUGGGGUAACGGCCUACCAAGGCGAUGAUAGGUAGGCGGCUUUAACGAGUGGCCGCCCACACUGGGAUUGAGAAACGGCCCAGACUCCUACGGGUGGCAG